GAUGAACGCUGGCUACAGGCUUAACACAUGCAAGUCGAGGGGAAACGGCAUUGGGUGCUUGCACCGAAUGGACGUCGACCGGCGCACGGGUGAGUAACGCGUAUCCAACCUUCCCGUUACUGCGGGAUAACCUGCCGAAAGGCAGACCAAUACCGCAUGUUCUUCGAUGACGGCAUCAGAUUCGAAGCAAAGAUCCGUCGGUAACGGAGGGGGAUGCGUCUGAUUAGCUUGUUGGCGGGGCGACGGCCCACCAAGGCGACGAUCAGUAGGGGUUCUGAGAGGAAGGUCCCCCACAUUGGAACUGAGACACGGUCCAAACUCCUACGGGAGGCAGCAGUGAGGAAUAUUGGUCAAUGGGCGGAAGCCUGAACCAGCCAAGUAGCGUGCAGGAUGACGGCCCUACGGGUUGUAAACUGCUUUUAUGCGGGGAUAAAGUGAGGGACGCGUCCCUUUUUGCAGGUACC
rnacentral:rRNA from 1 species